rnacentral:misc_RNA from 1 species
GGAAAAGGCAAUACAGAGAAAUUGAUGCCUUGCAAAAACUUGACCCCAGAGAUGAACAAACCAAAGUGUAUCAAAGUAACGUUUUCUUUUACUGAUAAGGGGACAAAAAAUCAAUAAUCUGGAAAUGAGAAGAUACGGCUCAUUAAUAACUCAAACAGAUGAUAUAAGGUUCAAAAUAAGAAGAUAAAAGGGACAUUGACUAGAAAUGUUUAAUCUUCUUCAUCUGCUUCAUUCUCGGCAAUGUUGAAGUAGCGCAACUCAUAAACAUUCCUGUCCUUGUUGGAAGCAAUCACCCUAAGCCAAUCCCUAACGUUGUUUUUCUUCAAGUACUUUUUGACAAGGUAUUUGAGGUACCUCUUGGAAAAAGUGGAGUUGCAAGUGACGGUGAUUUUAUUCUUAUCACGAGUGACAGUAACGGAAUCUCCAAGUGCACCAGCUUUUCCACCAACCUUAAUUCUCUCUUGAAGGAACUUGUCAAGAGAAGCAAUCUCCAUAAUACUGUCCUCCACUGGCUUCGAACAGUCGAUGACGAAGCUUGCCCCCUUCUUCUUCCCGCCCUUCACUGCUGCUGCUGCUCGGCUCAUCUUUACGCUCUUGAUUUCUCUUCUGCUGCUAUUCAAAUAGGGAGAAAUUCGACGGCUG